AAUACAAUGCAAAACAGGUUACAUAAAGCCAAAAAUAAGCAUAUUAAUGAUGGAAAGAAAUUAAAUUAAUUUUUCAUAAAUCUCGAAGAACUAACCAAGCGGGUUAUGCCGAAUCGUAGAAGAAACAGCAGCUCCAGCAGCUGAAGCCUCUGAAACUUCUGCCUUGUUGCUAUUGUUAUUACCUACUUCAAAGAGGAAACACAAUAAUGAGAAGCUAAUCUUGAUUUCUUGAUAGUUUGUCGAUAUGUAUAUAUUUAGGUGGAUACAACUUGCUGGAACUUUGUUCAAUAAUCAUUAACAGAUGCAAAAUCAUUAAAUCAAACUAAUAGGUAAAAAAGAAGGAGAAUAAAUUAAAUGCAAGAACUCCCCACAGCUGAUGCCGUCUAGCUAAGAAUUAAGCCUUUUCUUCAACAUUCGUAGAAACAUAUUUAGUUCACAGGCUUUCAGUUUUUAGCAGUCUCUUCUCAUCUUUAAAGCCCAUGAAUUGUACAGGAUAUACGUUCUUUAGUCCUGAGAAAUGAACUAAUAUAAUAAUAGAACAGUAGAACAUACACAACUUGUUGUGACCAUAUAAUUGAAACAGAAAACUUAAAAUGCAAAUGGGAUAAUCAUACAAUAAGAUUCAAUUACAAGGGAAGCAAGAAGAGGCUGUAGCUACAAAAUUAUUGAAUAAAUUUUGCUGUACAUUGAAUUUAAAUGGUUUAUCGGAAUAGCCAAGCAAAAAAUUCACAUUAAAGAGAGGAGAGAAAGUUAUUACCUUUGUUUAGCAUAGGGGCUCGGGGGACAACAAGAAUAAGAGGAAAAUUACAUAAAAGAAAGAAGAGAAACUUGUUGCUUUUCUUUAGCAUAGAGAAUCAGCGCACAAUAAGGAGAGUUAAAACGGUCGAAUACAAUUGAAAUUGAGAAGCAGCAAAACACAAACAGUAGUCAAGUAAUGCAUUGAACUUGAAAAAAGCUCACCAUUUAAACGUUCGAACAAAAUUUUCGUAAGCACGUGCCUCCUUCUCCUUCUUGUCGUUGUUGCUAGUGAGUGCUGAAGGGAGUCAAAACACUCGAAAUAGGCACAUAAAACUAUAUGUCAGUGACACCUUCUCUUUUGUUGCUGUUCAUUUUAAAGAACGGUGUAUCUACCUUUGCAUUCUCGAGUUUUUGUAUCGAUCCAUACUAUCAUUCUCCGAAUAUUAUUCCAAAAUCAUCGAGGUUAGAUGAAGAACAUGUUGAUUCCACCUAGUUUCAGACUUUUCCCAUUUGGAAUUGUUUUAUGGAAAAGAUUUAAACAAUUGAGCGCACGCGUAAAAUUAAAGACAGUGAUAUUGGAAAAAUUAAAUCACCACCCUAUUGACCCCAAAAGCUAUGAGCAACAACAGAGCACAAGAAAGGCCCCAGAAAACUGAAGUCGUAUCGUUGGCCUGAAAAAAUAAAUGAAAAAUGGCGAACCCAUCUUCCAAACAACAAGAGAAUGAAGAAAAAUUGGGCAUAUCAAGUACACCGUGGAAGUAGAGCACAGGGCCAGUACCGACUAAAUUCGGAAAACAAAAGAAAAGCUAAAAACAGUACAAGAAAUUAAAUAUAAUGACGAAGAAAAAGGAGGAAGAAAAUAGAAAAGCAAAUGAAAUAACCAAUAAUGUAUACCUUCUGAAAGUGCUGAAGUACGCAGCACCUCCUGCAACCUCUAUUACAGAAAUAAUAAUAAAAAAACAAUUAAAAAGAGAAAACCAAAAAAAAAAAAAAAACUCGAGAAAUACGAAAGAUAUACCUCCACUGCAAAGGAAGAAGAAGAUGGGCAUCAAACAUCGAAUUAUUCGAAAGCGUGACUGCAAGGCUGGCGGCGGAGGUGGCUGGACUCCAGAAUUAAGCUUUCGGAGAAGCGCACAUCACCGACUAAAAUAAGGAAAAUAAUUAAAUGACCGAUGAAAUGGCNNN
rnacentral:lncRNA from 1 species